UACGGGGGGGGCAAGCGUUGUUCGGAAUUACUGGGCGUAAAGGGCUCGUAGGCGGCCAACUAAGUCGGAUGUGAAAUCCCCAGGCUUAACCUGGGAACUGCAUCCGAUACUGGAUGGCUUGAAUUCGGGAGAGGGAUGCAGAAUUCCAGGUGUAGCGGUGAAAUGCGUAGAUAUCUGGAGGAAUACCGGUGGCGAAGGCGGAUCUCUGGGCCAUUACUGACGCUGAGGAGCGAAAGCGUGGGGAGCGAACAGG
rnacentral:rRNA from 1 species